AGAAGACGGGAAGUGGCUGAGGGGAACGUCUUUUCUCUCUCCUGCUCAGCCCGAAGUGAACAGGUAGCAUCAGAGAUGAGAUCCUGGAUUGAAUGACUACUAUGGAAAGUGAUUGACCAAGAUUGUCUCCAUUCCUCCCUGGCUUCUCCACAGGGCCGCUCACCAUGGCAGCCGGCUCCAUCACCACCAGCCAGCGAGAGGGCAAGACAAGAGGGCUGACGAGGGACGCUACCAUCACAGAGGUCAGUUUUGUAACCUAACCACAAGACUAACCUACUGUCACUUCUGCCCUAUCCUACUGCUAGAAGCCAGUCGCUACAUCUCCCCCACACUCAAAGGGAGGUGGUCGCACCGUGGGGUCCACUGGAAGUUGCCUACCAGACUCAGGUCAUCCCAAACACACCCUCUAGCCAUUUGGUGUGGCAUCGGAAAGAAAACUAAGGCCAGGUACGGUGGCUCAUGCCUGUAAUCCCAACAAUUUGGGAGGCCAUGGCGGAAGGGUCACUUGAGCCCAGGAGUUUGAGACCAGCCUGGGCAACAUAGCAAAUGUUAUGUUGCCACCUCUACAAAUAAUUAGCCAAGUGUGGUGGCAUGCACCUGUAGUCCCAGAUACUCAGGAGGCUGAGGCAGGAGAAUCACAGGUCGAGGUUGUAGUGAGCUGUGACGGCACUGCACUCCAGCCUUGGCAACACAGUAAGACCUCGUCUCUAAAAAAGCAAAAAGGGCUGGGUGCACUGGCUCACACCUAUAAUCCCAGCACUUUGGGAGGCCAAGACGGGUGGAUCACCUGAGGUCAGGAGUUCAAGAUAAGCCUGGCCAACAUGGUGAUACCGUCUUUAAUUAGCCAGGUGUGGUGGUGGGCGCCUGUAAUCCCAGCUACUCGGGAGGCUGAGGCAUGAGAAUCGCUUGAACAUGGGAGACACAGGUUGCAGUGAGCUGAGAUCAUGCCAUUGCACUCCAGCCUGGGCAACAGAGCGAGACUAGGUGGCUGUUCUGUGUACUGUGGGAUAUUGAGUAGCAUCCCUGGCCUCCCCAGUAUCUCAAAUAUGAAAACAUGUUUUCUAUCUCGAUUACUGAGCUUUUCGGUGCCUCCUUCGGUUCUGCACCUAAGCUAAGAGCCCCUUCAUCUCACCCUGAUCUCUAUCCAGUUUCUAACACAGCAGUCUUGUAAGAUGCCCGGACUUAAACGGUUAUUUCCUGUGAAACAGGUGAAAGGGGCUUUCAUCUCUAAAAAGUCGGAACUUUUUUUUUUUUUUGAGACGGAAUCUUGCUCUGUCACCCAGGCUGGAGGGCAGUGGCAUGAUCUCGGCUCACUGCAAUCUCCGCCUCCCAGCUUCACACCAUUCUCCUGCCUCAGCCUCCCGAGUAGCUGGGACUACAGGCGCCCACCACCAUGCCCAGCUAAUUUUUUGUAUUUUUUUAGUAGAAACAGGGUUUCAUUGUGUUAGCCAGGAUGGUCUCGAUCUCCUGACCUCGUGAUCCACCGCGCCCGGCCAAGUCUGAACUUUUGCAUGGCCUGUUGCCCUGGUGAUAAACUGAUGCCUUGUUUCCUAAAAGGAAUAAAGCCAUGAGUUGCCUUUGUUCAGCUCAUGGGCAUUCACCCAUGCACAGAGGAAAAAUAAAAUCUACGACUCGGGUA